UACGUAGGGGGCAAGCGUUGUCCGGAAUCAUUGGGCGUAAAGAGCGCGCAGGCGGUCGUUCAAGUCGCGUGUGAAAGCCCCCGGCUCAACUGGGGAGGGUCACGCGAUACUGAUCGACUCGAAGGCAGGAGAGGGAAGCGGAAUUCCCGGUGUAGUGGUGAAAUGCGUAGAUAUCGGGAGGAACACCAGUGGCGAAGGCGACUUCCUGGCCUGUUCUUGACGCUGAGGCGCGAAAGCUAGGGGAGCAAACGGG
rnacentral:rRNA from 1 species